rnacentral:lncRNA from 1 species
AUGCCUUCAAUCUCCAAACUGUGUUCGGGAGCAUUUUUUAAUGUUUAUUUUUAACUCAGAUGCCCUCCCUUACUUAUCUCACCAUGCAGUAACUCCACAAUCACAGUUGCUGGAGGAAUUCACCUCCAUGUCAUCACGAUCCCCCAGAAGCAGUUGCUGCCCAUUCCUGCCUUGAAAGAUGUGAAUCGUAAACACCAGUUUCUGUAGGCACCACUGAUUUCCUGAUUUCGUUUUGAUCAACCUCUGGAGGAGGAAAUGCAUUCAGCAUCAUAUUAUAAAUGAUCAGCUGCAGCAAAAGUCUGGAUGCUCCAUUCCCAGCCAGGAGAGAUGGUGGGAGUCCUGCUUUAGUUGGAAAUGAAGCUUCUUGCUUUGCAACACAUAUGAAAGAAGAGAAGAAGCAGCCCAGCUCCUUCGUUCCUCAAAUGAGAUAACAAAGUUGGGACUCGUGCCUCACUUACACGUGCCUUACCUGUUGAUUAAGAAUUGUUGUGGGCUGGGUGCAGUGGCUCACACCUGUAAUCCCAGCACUUUGGGAGGCUUAGGCGGGCGGAUCACAAGGUCUAGAGAUGGAGACCAUCCUAGCCAACAUAGUGAAACCCCAUCUCUACUAAAAAUACCAAAAUUACCCAGGCAUGGUGGCACAUGCCGGUAAUCCCAGCUACUAGGGAGGCUGAGGCAGGGGAAUUGCUUGAACUCAGGAGGCAGAGGUCCUGAGGCAGAGGUCUGAGGUCCUGGGGGUCCACACCUAGAUGCUGGACCCCCAGCUGGGAGAGCACCUUCCUGUCAUGUAAGCACCCCCAGCUUGUGGUACUUUGUUAUAGCUGCCCCAGGAAGUAAACACGACAGUUGUAUCUGGAGAUCAGCCCCAGCCCCUCAUUUCUGUCCUGGGGAACGCAUAAUGAUGUAAGAACCCACACUGCCUCAUAGCAGAGGCAACCUGGCCAUUGUCUCAGCCAUGACACCAGGUGUCUGUGACACAUUCCUGCACCUCUGACCCUGGCACCUGGAUGGGAGUUUCUGGGCUGCCGGGACUGCAAGGAUCCCCAUAGGGCAGAAGCCGGGCACCCUGUGGGUAUCUGGGCAUGGGUGAGAGGGAGAAACAAAUGGUACAAUCUCCAGCGGGCAUUGGUCCUAUACUUUCUGGCCAGCGAGGGAAUCCUCCCACAGGCAGGUCUGAGACAGUCU